rnacentral:lncRNA from 1 species
UCAUGCAUGUAUAGACAGGUAUGUGCAUGUGUGUUGUGUCCACAUGUUAAACCUCACUUUUAUGCAACUUUUCAUACAUAUAGUAUUGCAUAUAUAUGUAUACAGUACUACUCUUCAUGCUACUCUUCAUGUAUAUAUGCAUAUAUGAAACUUCACUUUCAUGCUACUCUUUAGUACUUAUAGUAUUACAUAUAUGUGUAUGCAAUACUACU